GAGUUUGAUCGUGGCUCAGAUUGAACGCUGGCGGCAUGCCUUACACAUGCAAGUCGAACGGCAGCAUGAUCUAGCUUGCUAGAUUGAUGGCGAGUGGCGAACGGGUGAGUAAUACAUCGGAACGUGCCCUGUAGUGGGGGAUAACUAGUCGAAAGAUUAGCUAAUACCGCAUACGACCUGAGGGUGAAAGUGGGGGACCGCAAGGCCUCAUGCUAUAGGAGCGGCCGAUGUCUGAUUAGCUAGUUGGUGGGGUAAAGGCCCACCAAGGCGACGAUCAGUAGCUGGUCUGAGAGGACGAUCAGCCACACUGGGACUGAGACACGGCCCAGACUCCUACGGGAGGCAGCAGUGGGGAAUUUUGGACAAUGGGGGCAACCCUGAUCCAGCAAUGCCGCGUGUGUGAAGAAGGCCUCGGUUGUAAGU
rnacentral:rRNA from 1 species